ensembl:lncRNA
AUACAGUAGAGGUGGAGACAAUCUAACCCAUAGCAUGCAAAUGAAGUACAGGGAUCAGCCUUGAUCUCAUCAGCAUAACAGUGUCAUUCAAAUGCAGAGGUGCCUGACAGUAUCGCACAUACCUUCACAUUAUCAUUGAAACAAAUGCACAGCUGUGCCUUGAGCUUAAAAAGCCAGAUGGUCAGGAAGAGCAUAAAAACAAAAGGUCAAUGUCUCAGAAACCUUGGCUGCUUGACUUGAUCUCAGAAUGUCACCAUCUUAACCUCAAAAUGUCACCGUAGCCACCAGAUCCAGUCUGUAUCCAGAUCACAUGGUGGAUCAGCACCUAGACAAACUCUUGACAGCCCUGGAUGUCAGCGGAGACCAGGACAACUAUGAGCCCCAGAGACAGAUCCUCUUCACCAAGACAGCCAUCGGGACAAGACCACAGGAACCAGACCAGUCCUCUGCACAAUCUGAUCUGUGUUGAAGCCUGCAAUUAAACUGCUGGGUUCGUCUGUUCAGAGAAGAACGAUGGAGUUUUGGUUCCUUCGACACACAAUUUUUCUGUUUAAUACUGUAAAGCUGUAGUGUAAAUACAGUGACUGGACUUGACUCCAGUUGAAAUGUAACACCUGGUUCAUUUAUUUUUUUCUGCCUUCUGCCUCAUUUUAAAGAUGUAAUUGUGAACAGUAUUAAUAUUUUUUUAAAUAUUUGUUUGCAAACAUUUUUUU